UGCCUCAUCUCUUCUCUCUCUAUCUCAAAACAUUCACCACCACCAUCUUCAAAAAUACAAUUAGAUCUGAAACAGGCUAAUCCGCCACCCAUACCCCGGAGUUGAUGAACUCGUCGCCGACCCCCGAUGAACUCGUCACCGACAUCACCCACCCCGGUUUCGUUCUCUCACACUCGUUCACCACCAUGUUUCUCCGGCAGAAGCGCCGCCGUUCACGGCGGUGGUGAACAGAAGCAACAAAUGGGCAACUAGGUGGUGGCUGGUGGGUAGAGGUGGUGCUGACUCAAAAAUCCUCUUCAUCCAGUAUACAACCGGUGGUGGGUGGUGGGUAGAGGUGAUGUUCUUACUCCGACUACAACAACAGAGAAAUAGAGAGAGAAUGAGAGAGAUCGAGGACAGAAGCAACAACAGAUUUUGGGGGUAAUUAAUGGCGGCCAGAUGUGCGACCAGAUCAUGUAUGUUCACCACUAGAGAGUCGGAGAGAGAAAGAGGACGGAGGCGGGCCGGCGGCAGCGCCGCUGUGAGCGGCGGAGGCCCUGCUCUCCUCCCGACGAGUUGAUGAUUUCUCUGGUAUUUUUUUGUCCUGUUUGUGGGUGUUGA
rnacentral:lncRNA from 1 species